GAGAAAUUAGAUCUGGUUGAUCUAAACUGUUUCAUCAACGAGUUAUUAAGAAGCUACGUGGGUUAGUUACACCGUAACGAUAUUGUUUUGGGUUUUGUUUUAUUUUUUCUUUUGGGUUUCUGAUUUUUGAUACCUUGUACUUGGUAUAAGAAGUUAGAUCUAUAGUUUGAUUAUGUGAGAUAUGUUCAGUUGUGUGUUUUAUGUUUGGUUUUGGUUUUGUUUUUUGUUUUCCUCUUAUUUUGCAGCAAGUAUGUCUGAGAUUUGAAGUUGAAAAAUACCAGAAAAGUAUGUUAAAUGUAUACUACGUUUUAAUGGCUUACUUAGAUUAUAGAUAGUAGACUAACAAGUUUUAGCAUACAUACCUUAUAGGCUUUGGUGCAAUAGAAGAUUCAAAGUAUACAAGGUGUUUUUAAUUUAAGUUACUCAUUUUGCUGAUUGUUAUGAUUGAUUAAUAUGUCAGGAAGAAAUUGUGAAGAUUUAGGAGAUAUUUGAGCAAUAUUGGUAUAUCAUGUGUUGCACUGUAGUGGGUAUCUUCUUAUUGGAGGAGGAUUUGGGCACGACUUUUCUUGAGAUACUUUAUUUUCUUCUUUGGUGGUGCGGAUUCUUGAAUCCAAGAAUGCUUUGAUUAUUGGAACUUAUGGUUAUUGGCUCUACGUGGCUGCGAAUUCCAAGCCCAACUGGUAACUGCAAGUGGGAGUUAUCUUGUUUAUGAUAUUCAUGUAUUAUUAUUUGUCAAUGGAACAAAUGUUCAUCAUGAAUGGGAGAUGAAAAACAGUUAGGUAUUCAUCAAGAAGAAGAAGAAGUUAGUUACAUUCAAGAGGAAGAAGAAAAAUAAAGUAUUAUUUCAUUGAUUAAUCAAUAAUGACUACAACAUAGGUUGGUAGAGUGAGGACUGCCCCCACUUAUAAACACAUGUUCAUGCCAUAUAUUAUCCGAUGUGGGACUCUUAACACCCCCCUCGUGCCCAGGACUGGACAUCUGGAGCGUGGAAAUAAAUGGUGGAUGGCCCGAUAGCGGAAACCAUAGUAGGUGGUCCACCGGAUCUUAAACCAGGCUCUGAUACCAUGUUAAGAAUGUGUGAUUUGGCCUAACUCAACCCUACAAAACCGGUUGGUAGAGUGAGGACUACCCCCACUUAUAAACACAUGUUCAUGCCAUAUAUUGUCCGAUGUGGGACUCUUAACACACCCCCUCACGCCCAGGACUGGACAUCUGGAGCGUGAAAAUAAAUGGUGGAUGACCCGAUAGCGGAAACCAUAGUAGGUGGCCCACCGGAUCUUAAACGAGACUCUGAUACCAUGUCAAUGGAACAAAUGCUCAUCAUGAAUGGGAGAUGAAAAACAGUUAGGUAUUCAUCAAGAAGAAGAAGAAGUUAGUUACAUUCAAGAGGAAGAAGAAAAAGAAAGUAUUGUUUCAUUGAUUAAUCAAUAAUGAUUACAACAUAGUUUAUAUAUACAAAAAAAUGUUAUGUAGUGUAAGCUAAGGUGUGUGCUCUGUACAAUAUAAUGUGCUAUUUCUAAUAUUAUUCUACUGUCAAAACCAUAAACAUGCGCAGUGUUUGAUUUUGGUGACUUUAUCAUGAUUUUGUAUUAUAAAACAACUAUUAGUUACUAUUAUGGAUUUGUAUAGUAAAUAUUUCACUACUUUA